GAAGUGGUGGUUCAGUGGUAGAACUCUCGCCUUCCGUGUGGGAGAACAGGGUUCGAUUCUCAGCCAGUGCA
rnacentral:tRNA from 1 species